rnacentral:rRNA from 1 species
AGAGGUAAAGUAAAAGAUAAUUGGUUAAAAAUGCUUAAAUGUAAAAUUUUAUUUAAAUGGAUUGUUUUGUGUUAAUAAAGGGUGAAAUCGAUUUUUUGUUGUAUAACUAAUUUUGUUAAAUAAAAGUUGUUGAGGUUGUUAAGGUUAAGGUAUGAACCAGGAUUAGAUACCCUGUUACACUUUACUUAGAAGUUUAUUGUACCUAGGUAAUAAACAGUUAUGAUCUUGAAACUUAAAGGAUUUGGCGGUAAUUUAGUCUAGUUAGAGGAACCUGUCCUAUAAUCGAUAAACCACGUAAUAUCUUACUUUAUCUUGAAAGUUUUCAGUUUAUAUACCAUCAUUAUUAGAUAACUUUAAUAAGAUAGAGAAGUUAUUGAAAUAAUUUUUAGUUAAUAUAUUAGAUCAAGGUGUAGCUAAUGAUAAAGUAGAGAUGGGUUACAAUAAUAUGAGUUUAUAACGAACUUAAGAAAGAACUUUUUUAAUGAAGGAGGAUUUAAAUGUAAAUGUGUUUUAAUAUGACAUAUUGAUUAUAGCUCUAGAUUAUGUACACAUCGCCCGUCGCUCUCGUUAUAUAAAGCGAGAUAAGUCGUAACAUAGUAGGUGUACUGGAAAGUGUAC